AACGGCCGUACCAUGGUGAAUAUACCGGUUCUCGUUAGAUCACCGAAGUUAAGUACUUGGGUGGGUGACCACCUGGGAACACUGCGUGCCGUU